UUCAUAGAGGCACAAGCAUCCCGUUUGUAGCAACUUAGUCCGUACGCCUGCAAGUUUGGAACCAAGACAUGAAGAACAUGAAGAUUUUAUUCUUCGCACUUGCGCUCCUCAUGCUAUCGACAGAUACGGCAACCUCACUCGCAUGCAGGUUCGUCUACAAAGAUGGCCCAUGUCAAAUCGAUGAAUGUAGAGCCUACUGUAAUCAGUUUUUUAGAGUGGAGCCCUCACCCAAAAAUCCAGACAUGUGCAUUCCUCGGGGAUGCAAGUGUGUAAUAUGUGGAGGGAUACAAGAAGGGAUGGGGAUGUAGGAGGAGGAUUUGUGGUAUAUGGGACAUAUACACCCUAUAUGUAUUUUUUUUAGUAAUUCAACAAAAAGUCAAAAAUUCCUGAAAAUAUUUUUGAAAUAAA